rnacentral:miRNA from 1 species
GUCCCCGAGCAAAGCGGAAAAGUCGAAUACGAGCGCGAAAGAAUACUGGGAAUAGCUAAUAAAUUCAUUAAUUUUUUAGCGAUUCCCAGCAGCCUUUCGCGCUCGUAUUCGACUUUUCCGCUUUGCUUCUGGACAA